GAAAUCGAGUGGCAAACGGGUGAGUAACGCGUAAACAACCUGCCCUUCGGAUGGGGAUAACAGCCGGAAACGGCUGCUAAUACCGAAUACGAUCUUUUCGUCGCAUGACGAAAAGAAGAAAGGAUGGCCUCUAUACAAAGCUAUCGCCGAAGGAGGGGUUUGCGUCUGAUUAGCUGGUUGGAGGGGUAACGGCCCAACAAGGCGAUGAUCAGUAGCCGGUCUGAGAGGAUGAACGGCCACAUUGGGACUGAGACACGGCCCAGACUCCUACGGGAGGCAGCAGUGGGGAAUCUUCCGCAAUGGACGAAAGUCUGACGGAGCAACGCCGCGUGAGUGAAGAAGGUCUUCGGAUUGUAAAGCUCUGUUAUACGGGACGAAAAAGACGGAUGCCAACAGUAUCCGUCCGUGACGGUACCGUAAGAGAAAGCCACGGCUAACUACGUGCCAGCAGCCGCGGUAAUACGUAGGUGGCAAGCGUUGUCCGGAAUUAUUGGGCGUAAAGGGCGCGCAGGCGGUUCGGUAAGUCUGUCUUAAAAGUGCGGGGCUUAACCCCGUGAGGGGACGGAAACUGUCGAACUUGAGUGUCGGAGAGGAAAGCGGAAUUCCUAGUGUAGCGGUGAAAUGCGUAGAUAUUAGGAGGAACACCGGUGGCGAAAGCG
rnacentral:rRNA from 1 species